UUGCGGCCACAUCAUGUUUAAACUCCGGUUCCCGUACGAUCAUCGAAGUUAAGCAACGCCUAGCCCGUUCAGUACCUAGAUAAGUGGCCGCUUGGGAAUACUAGGCGCUAUA